rnacentral:lncRNA from 1 species
AGAGACGCCACAACUCCACAGCAGCCAUAUUGCGGCCACCAAGUGAAAGUCCACCUCGUGCUACUCCAAAUCAAGCUGAAAGCCCACCACGAAGUACUCCAACUCAAGCCGAAACACCUCCAGCUACACCGCCAAGUCCUGAAAGUCCCGUUGCAGCUGCUCGAAGGAUCAUCCGCAGGCCUAGAAGUAAUUCGAUGGGAAGGUUCGGGGACGAGCUGCCGAG